CCUACGAGAGGCAGCAGUGGGGAAUAUUGCACAAUGGGGGAAACCCUGAUGCAGCGACGCCGCGUGAGUGAAGAAGUAAUUCGUUACGUACAGCUCUAUCAGCAGGGAAGAAAUACUGACCUUACGGUCAGCAGACGGUACCUGAGUAAGAAGCCCCGGCUAACUACGUGCCAGCCGCCGCGGUAAUACGUCGGGGGCAAGCGUUAUCCGGAUUUACUGGGUGUAAAGGGAGCGUAGACGGUGGGCCAAGUCUGGAGUUAAAUGCCGCAGCUUAACUGCGGAACUGCUUUGGAAACUGGCGAACUAGAGUGCGGGAGGGGUAAGCGGAAUUCCUAGUGUCGCGGUGAAAUGCGUAGAUAUUAGGAGGAACACCGGUGGCGAAGGCGGCUUACUGGACCGUAACUGACGUUGAGGCUCGAAAGCGUGGGGAGCAAACAGGAUUAGAUACCCCUGUAGUC
rnacentral:rRNA from 1 species